rnacentral:lncRNA from 1 species
GCUGCUGCUGUUGCUACAGCUGCAGAUUAGGCCGCUGCGGGAGACGGCAGGUAGCGCGCAACAGCUUAUCCACGGGCCCCGACUAACUUGGCACCGCGCCCUACCGCCGCCGCUUUGCCAGCCGCCACCGCGACCACCGUCGCCUGUUACAGGUCAAAGAGUGCGGCUGCUGCGGCGGCUGUAGCAGCAGCUGCAGCUUGCGAGGAGGCCUGUGCAAAAGGACAGUCAAAGCCAGGGGAUGCCAUGGGGUCAUGGUCAGGCAAGAUGUGGGGACUCCUGGCUGCGGGCUGCCGAGCAGGUGGUUAUGCUUGUGCUCAAGCACGCUGGCAGACGUCAGCAUGUCCCCAGCUCCUGCCCUGAAUCAACUGUGCCCUGGCUCCGGCCCUGGCCCCAACUCCUGCCCUGACCUCCGGCCACAGCUUCUGCCCUGACAUAUCCAGUUCAUACUUCAUUCUCCGGUGCCCCGGUACCGCCCCCAGCUCUGCCUUGGACCCACCAUGCCCCGGCCCCGCCCCUAGUCCCUGCCCUGACCCCCGCCAUCCCCGGCUCCUCCCAUCUCCUUGUCUCAAGCACCUGGCCCAGGUCCUGCCCAAUCCAACCCAGCCCGCAAGCCCGUGGCGCCGCAUCUCCCCUUCCGUUCUGUUUCCUAACACGUGUAUGUAGGGCAGCAUGGCCUCACCAUGACAGCGUCAGCUCCCUAGUCCCAACAGACCCAGCGCGGGCAUGCACGGCGAGACAAGACGCAAAACUCCUUUUCUUCUUGCAUCUUUGGUUAGGUGCGCAUGUCCAUGUUAUAUUUACGUCCAGACGUAUAAUGUGUGCUUCUGGGUAUCCAAAUUAAAA